GUCUCAGUGCCCCCAUGUCUCCCAGAGUCCCCGGGUCUCUGUGUCCCCAAGUAUCCUAGUGACAUGGGGACACACUGAGACAUGGGGACACUGGGAGACUAUGGGACUGGGCGACAUGUGGAUACUGACCCUGUGAUACAUAGGGACACUGGGUGACUACGAGACUGAGACACUGGGAGACAUGGAGACACUGUGAGCAAUUCAUCUAUACAGCAGAAUCAAACUGUGAGUAGUUUGUUGGUGAUUUUACAGAAUGUUCUCUAAUGUCACUUCUUGUGAUUUACAUCAUCUGAUGUCAUGCAUAACUAAUUAAUUACACAAAUUAUUAAGGAUGGUAUUUUUUUCCAAGAAAGGU